AUUGAACGCUGGCGGCAUGCUUUACACAUGCAAGUCGAACGACAGCGGGGGCUUCGGCCUGCCGGCGAGUGGCGAACGGGUGAGUAAUGCAUCGGAAUGUGCCCAUGUCGUGGUGGAUAACUACGCGAAAGCGUGGCUAAUACCGCAUACGCCCUGAGGGGGAAAGCGGGGGAUCUUUCGGGACCUCGCGCGAUUGGAGCGGCCGAUGUCGGAUUAGCUAGUUGGUGGGGUAAAGGCUCACCAAGGCGACGAUCCGUAGCUGGUCUGAGAGGAUAAUCAGGCACACUGGGACGGGGACACGGACCAGACUCCUACGGGAGGCAGCAGUGGGGAAUUUUGGACAAUGGGCGCAAGCCUGGUCCAGCCAUGCCGCGUGAGUGAAGAAGGCCUUCGGGUUGUAAAGCUCUUUCGGCCGGGAAGAAAUCGUGUUCUCUAACAUAGGACAUGGAUGACGGUACCGGACUAAGAAGCACCGGCUAACUACGUGCCAGUCGCCGCCGUAAAAC
rnacentral:rRNA from 1 species